GGUGGCUCAGUGGUAGAGUGCUUGCUUUGCAUGCAUGAGACCCUGGGUUCAAUUCCUCAGCACCA
rfam:Dipodomys ordii contig_52091, whole genome shotgun sequence.